GCGCCCGUAGCUCAGCUGGAUAGAGUGUUGGAUUCCGAAUCCAAAGGUCGCAGGUUCGACUCCUGCCGGGCGCACCA
rnacentral:tRNA from 1 species